AACGAACGCUGGCGGCAUGCCUAACACAUGCAGGUCGAACGAGACCUUCGGGUCUAGUGGCGCACGGGUGCGUAACGCGUGGGAAUCUGCCCUUGGGUUCGGAAUAACAGUUGGAAACGACUGCUAAUACCGGGUGAUGACGUAAGUCCAAAGAUUUAUCGCCCAAGGAUGAGCCCGCGUAGGAUUAGCUAGUUGGUGAGGUAAAAGGCUCACCAAGGCGACGAUCCUUAGCUGGUCUGAGAGGAUGAUCAGCCACACUGGGACUGAGACACGGCCCCAGACUCCUACGGGAGGCAGCAGUGGGGAAUAUUGGACAAUGGGCGAAAGCCUGAUCCAGCAAUGCCGCGUGAGUGAUGAAGGCCUUAGGGUUGUAAAGCUCUUUUACCCGGGAUGAUAAU
rnacentral:rRNA from 1 species